UCCCCCCCUUAGCAUGACUUGCCAUUUGACCGGUUAACGUCUUUAAGCUUUACGGUUAUUUUAUGUUAAAUGUAUACUAAUUGUUAACUAAUUAUGCUUCCAUUGUUAAUCAUCUUUUAUGCUCAUUAAUAGUUCCUGUGUUAAGUGUGGUCCAUUCAUUUACUGAAAAUGUCUGCAAUUGUUUAUUCAUUGUGUUCAAUCAAAGGUCUCUGGUGUGACUGUAAUGGCUGUAGUUAUUUCGUUUGGUUUCAUGCAAUGGAUUUCAUAUUCUGUUGUUUGAGGACUUUAUUCCGAAAUGAUUUUUGGUUUCAACAACCAUUUAAGUGAAAUUGGAUUUGACAGGUGAUUCAAUGAUUGAUUGCAACUAUUGAUUGGUAUGAUAAAAUCUUGGAAUAUUUUCUGGUUCAAUCCUUGCUUUGGUCUUAAUUGAGUAAUCAAAAGAAAUCUUUAAGUUGAAAGUCAUCAAGAAGAGCUCACCAUGAAGGAAAACAAGAAAAAUGACUGUCUCAAUGAAAGUAAAUGCCAUUUAUUAUCAUAAUGACAAUCAAGAUACAGAAGAUGCAACCAACAUGUUCCCGAUGUCAAAAGUUGAAAGCUAUCAACAUCUCAAUCGUAUUGGAAUCCAUUCUGUCUACCUGAUUGCUAUUUUAUUGCCAUUUUAUUACGACCCGUUAGCAAAAUAUUAUCUUAAAGCGUGGAGAAAAAUCUUAUGUGUCUGGCUAGCGAAAUUAAACAACAAGGAAACAAGAAACACUUUGCCUUUCAGUGACAAUCAUGUUGCAUUUUUUUGACUCUUGAUUGUUCCAGCACAUAUAUUCCAACCUGAUUACCAUCUGAUAAAAAGUUGCUACAUUGAAAUUUUCAAUUGACCCUUUGAUUCAAAGCAAUUCGCUUCGUUGUAUCCGAUAUAAUAUUGACUGGAGCAAUUGUGCACAUUCAAGGAGAAGUCGAGGCAGAUUUAAUCUCUGUGUGAAGAUGAUUUACUUUCAAUAAUUAUCUAAUGCGUGACUCUCAUAGCUAAUAUUGAAUCUCAUUGAAUAAGAAAUCAAAAUUAACGAUGUAACAAAUCAUUUGGUCGAUAAAGUGCGGAGGCAUGUAAAUGCAUUAUCAUUCAAACAUCAAUCAUAACAAAAUUGAAUGAUUGCUUAGCUGAUGAUUUUUAUGCAGAUGUUACCAAACCAAAAGUGGAAGAGUUAAUAAUUUUCGACAUCUUCACAAUGAUUAUUAAUGGAAAUCUUGAAAAUAAUUGAUUUACCUUUGUCUUUUCAAAGCUAAGGCUUUCACUUGGCAAGUUUAAAAAGAGCGGAAAAGGGUAAACUGUAAAAUUUGCUAAAAAAUGAGAAAUCAAAUGAAGUUAACCGAUGUUUCUGGCUCUAUUAAUUGUUGAUGAAACAGGAAUUAGGUUAAAAAUCAUGUAAUAUUGCUAAUUGAUAAUCCUGUAUUUGAAGAGGGAUUAAAUUAACGAUUUAGAAGCGAAUUAAUUAGAUUAAAUAAUGUUGUUCCAAUCAUCUUUAAAGUUGUAUUUGCACGCUGAUUAUCCCUAAAGAGGGUAAAGCUCAUAAGGUGUAAGUGUUAACUGAGUUUUGGGUUGUAAUAAAAUAUAAACUGUUGAACA